UAGGGUUCCUUAGCCACAGCAUUCUCAGCGCGACAGCCAGUGAGGCAUCAAGGUUAGCAACCGUUGCCCCCGCCCCCAAUUGUUUCACCAGUUUGCUAGGGUUCCUUGAAUGAGCAGCCACCACAUCCUCGUGACAGCUGGUGAGAGCGGCCGCGGCGGAAGGUUCAAUAAGGCGGAGGUGGAGUGGUGGGUGCUGGCGUCGGAACGAGCUGCGACUGGGUGUCAGCGGCGGGCUCUCUCCGUCGCCGCCUUCGGCAGCACAAAGUCCCGGAUCUACGGUGGGGCCCUCAUCAGUGAGUACCACUAUCUUCCUUAUCUUAUUAAUCGCAGUUUGGAGCGUAGAUUAGCUAGCUAUCAAUCCCUGCCGUGUGCUUUACACUUAUGUUUGCUUUUUCCCUGGCUGGUAACCUCGCUACCAUGGACCAUUGCAUUAGUUUCGUGAGUAAUUCUCAUGGCUGGCAAUUAAUGAACUGGUGUUGGCGGGGCAUUCAGUUGAAUUUACUUAGAAACCGUACCAUUCACUUUUGAGGCAUAUGGCUGAAUUUACUUGAAAUUAUAUCAUCCAGCCUGAGGUUUAUAUGAAUUUGAGAACGACGACACACAUCAUCAGACAUUCCUCCUUUGUUACCUUAGUUGUUUUUUUUCUAAUUUACACAACUGAAUGCUGCAUGUUUGAUUAAGGGCCUAUUUGAAAGCGCAUGGUUUUUUUCUUUAUUUUUUAGAAGAGAAACUUACAUUAAUAUUUCUAUAUAUUAAGUGUGGGAACAAAGAUAGUCCCUCGCUAUAUACAUGUCAGUACUUUUAAUGUCAGUCGCACGAUCUGGGGUUUUUCUUCACUGCGAGGGAUUACACAACUACUGUCUCCCUUUCCUCUCUAUCAACUGACUAUUUCCUUGCUCUAAUGAUCAUCAUAUUCACUCCCAAUGAAAAAAGAAUCUCAGUGGAAGAUAGGUAAAUAUUUCAACCUUAUUUCUAGAAUUACAACUCUUUCUUUACAUAGUCUUUUCUUACUCGAAAUUGCAUUAAUGAUCUGGGGUUCCAUUUUUCUUUGUGCCAGUAGAACUACCAUCUGGGGUUGAUUGUAUUCUGUCAGGUAAAGUAGCAACCAGAUGUGCAUUCGAUUUCCUUUUGUGUUUCCCAACUGAACUAUGCGAUUUGUGUGUGCUAACAAUAUAUUUUAUUUCCCACUCUCAUAGCUUCCUCCAUGUCAUCUCCUUUUGGUCUGUUCAAUCGAGUAAAAUUAAAUGCCUUUGGUUAUGUUGAAAUGAACAAGCUCAUAUGCUUUGACCAUGCUAAGUGUUCCUGAUAUAAUAUCUUAUUGAUGUCGGCUAACCACUCCAUUAUGCUGUCCUGCUGUCCUUCACACACUAAAAAAGGGGGAAAUAUUUUCUUCCUAAUUGGUGCCUUUGUCACUAGCUGCCGAGGUGGAAUGCCUGUUUUAGAGUUUAUUUAGGUUCAGAUUGCCAAUCCUGUUUUAGUAUCUUUAGUGCAUUAUAUACAUCAACUUUCAGUUCUGAAAAUGUCUAUUUGUUCAUCCCUUAAUGGUGUACCUUGCCUUGGCGAGACCUAAAACAGUUGGAAUGCUUACGUUAUUGAUUCUAUUUCAAUAUCCUUAAUGCAUUAUAUGCAUAUGAACUCGCAUAUUUGAUAUUGUAUUUUAAAUGACUAUUUGUGCUACAUUUGAAGGACAUCUUUAGGACCACAGUGACGGUUCAAAUACCCAUAGAUUCAGAUGAAACAGGACAUCUUUACGACUGCAGUGACGCUUCAGAUAUCCAAAGAUUCAGAUAAAAUAGGCGAGGUUAUACGGUUUCUUUAUUACUUUAUUUUUUAAAAAAAAGAAUGUCACCUACAUCAGCUUGGUUAGUAUUCCCUCAAAUUGUUGUUGAUCCAAUUUAUGACCAUUAAGAAAAAACACGAGCAUAGUCAUUACAAUAUUUUCACUCUUCAAAGCCAUUGUUUUUAAGGGCAUAUGUAGUCAUAGUGCUCUCCUUCUGUUUCCUGUCACUUGAUGACCUGUUUAACAAAGCUCAAUCCAUAAUGAAAAGGAUACUCUGCAUUCUCCUCAUCUCUAAGUCGGUGAUCCAUAUUUUUAUAAACAUUGUCUUGGAAAGCUGGAAGGUGCUAUACAUUAUCCAUGUGUUAGGUGGGCAUGUCAUCUUACACCAAUGAGAAGGUAAACAAUCCGAUCAUAUUUAACUGUUUCUUUCCACGCAUUGUACAUUUACAUAUCUUCCCUACUUACAUGGUGAAGCUAUCUAUAACUUUAUUUCGACCAUAUUUAACUGUUUCUUUCUACGCAUUGUACAUUUACAUUUCUUCCCUACUUACAUGGUGAAGCUAUCUAUAACUUUAUUUCGACAACGUAAGCUUCUCAUAACUCAUCUCACCUGCUAAACUAUUGAUAACUUUAUUUAGGCAAAUUAGCAGCUUCUACGUAAUUGAACUAUGUGAUGAACCUGUCUACAAUCAGCCUGUAGUGUGUGCAUCAUAUACCAUGAAGCGUUAUAGGACCCUUAUUUACUUAAGCAUUCUGGGAACAACAGAACAAUCUCUGAGCUAUACCUGCUUGUUGAUUCUAUUAACCCCUAACAUUUUGUAUCUGUUGAAUACAACUAAUAAUUGUAUUUCUUUUUUUCUCUGCUAUAGGAACCUCUUCGUGUUGCACUAUAUUCUAAUCUUCGGAAUCUCAUUCAGAACCUUAUGAGCGGCAGUGAAACUAUCGAGCAACUUAUUCACACGCUAAUCAAUGAUAACUUGGAUCUUGGUUGUGCCAUCAUUGAGGUUGUGGCAACACGUCAGGUAGCUUCUUGACAAUUCUAAUUCUGCUGAACUAAGUACACCUUUGACUUCUCCUUAAGUAGAUUUAAAAGCGUAAGGUUUACAAUCCCAGAUUGUUUUUACAAUUCUAAUGGAGUUGUCAGUUUUCUGGACAUCUGACAAUGAUUACUCAAAGAUAAACUAUAUUGUGUUAAAGGCUAGUUGGGUACUACCAUUGUCCUGAAAUGUAAUCGAUUUGAGUUUGUCCUAAGUAACUACAUUAAGUUUGACCAAGUUCAUAGAAAAAAGUAUUAAGUAUUAGUGGCAUUGAGGAGAUCAACUAUAAAAAUUUAUUUCAUAAAUGUAUGAGUUGAAAAUGAUGUUCAUCUAUUAUUGUAAAUAUUAUUCUUCUCUAUAAAUUUGCCAAAUUUAGGAUAGUUUGACGUAGAGCAACUCAAAAACAUUAUAUUUCAGGAUGGAUCUAUUUAUUAUUAACAUCUUCUGUCUGAUCACCAUUGGAAGUAGAUCUGGCUUGGGGUAUAGUAGAUUGAAUAUAGAGGUACAUGGGGUGUACAAUAUAUAGGCAAGGAUCAUCAAGUUUGACGUCGGCAACGUGGUCAUGGUGACUGGCGGGAGGAACACCGAGCGUGUAGGAGUCAUCAAGAACAGGGAGAAGCACAAGGGCAGCUUUGAGACCAUCCACGUGCUGCUUGGAGCUUUUUGCUAUGUCUAGUUUUCUCCU